GUAAAUCAAAUCUUACAUGAGUUGUUCAUGUUGGGGUGAAGUGUAUUCAAUGGGCUAGGUUUCCAUGGCAUUCGUGAGAAUUUGGAGUGUCUCGUGUGGAAACAACCCGACCUCAGCUUGUUGCACCCAUCGACGAAUCGCUUGCACCCACCGGCAGACCCGUUUACAGCACUCACCAUUGCAGAGACGAGCUGAGUCUUGCAUUCUGAAUUUGGGGAUUUAGGAAUCUUUACUUCUUUUGUUCUUUUUGUCUUUUAGUUCAUUGUCUUACCAGAUGGAUUUAUUAGCUGGGCUGGGUCAUUUUGAGGCCUGGUCCCUUUUUCUCUCAUUUUAAUAAAGGGUCUGGCAGCCCAAUUUCGCUUAAAAAAAUUGUUUAUUUCUUUUGUACGAGUAAUCAAAAUAAUAAUAUCUUAAUUCCUCAGUUUUGACUUCAAAAUGCACAAAUCAAAUCAUCAAACAUUUCGGCAUAUUGUAUUGGUGAAUUUUUUUUGUAAAAACCAAUAAGAAAUGGCAUUAACAUAUUUCUAUGUCUCUUUCUAUUGAACAUUAGUUUGAAACAAAAUGUACACCUAGCAGGAAAAUAGAGUUUGAAAAUCAUCAAAUCUAAUUCUUGAUAUGAUUUCUUGAAUUGAUGUAAUUUAAAACUUGUCACUUAAAAUAAAAAAAAUCUUAUCUCUUUUUGUUAUAUCUACUUCAAAAAAUAAAAAUAUUUCUUGCUUUGUAUAGUGAUUUUUCCUAAAUAAUCUAUUUACGUCUCAAUUCAUUAUUAUUUAUUUAUUUUGUUUUGUAAGAAUUUUUUCUAACUAUUUCUUCUUUGUUUUGUAAUAAUGUUGAUUUAUAAAAUUCAUGUACUCUAUAUAUUUUAAUUUUGUAAUAGUUUUAAUUUUGUGUUCAUAUAUUUCUUAUAACUAAAUACUAAAUUGAUAUGUUAUAUUGUUCUCAUUAGUUAUCCCAUUUGAUUUUUUUAAAAUUCAUUAUAUUUGUUUAUUGGAAAAAUAAAUAAAUGCAUGCGUGAUCCAUGAGAUUAAUAUAUAUUGAAACGAAGGACUUAAGGCUGAGAAAAAUCAUCAAACUUUUUUUGUACCUUAAAUUUUUUUAUUUAAUUUAAACAUAAUCAUGUUACUCUAUAGAUAAAGCAGGAUGAGAUAAAAGACUUAUUUAUAAUUAUGCAUUGAUUCAAAUCUCAGUCUAUUAAUUAAAAAGAUCUUAAAAAAAGAAUAUUAUUAUUUCAAGAAUAUAUAAUAUCUUGAUAUGAUUUCUUGAAUCAAUGUAAUUUAAAAAUUGUCACUUAAAAUAAAAAAAAUCUUAUCUCUUUUUUGUUAUAUCUACUUCAAAAAAUAAAAAUAUUUCUUGCUUUGUAUAGUGAUUUUUCCUAAAUAAUCUAUUUACGUCUCAAUUCAUUAUUAUUUAUUUAUUUUGUUUUGUAAGAAUUUUUUCUAACUAUUUCUUCUUUGUUUUGUAAUAAUGUUGAUUUAUAAAAUUCAUGUACUCUAUAUAUUUUAAUUUUGUAAUAGUUUUAAUUUUGUGUUCAUAUAUUUCUUAUAACUAAAUACUAAAUUGAUAUGUUAUAUUGUUCUCAUUAGUUAUCCCAUUUGAUUUUUUUAAAAUUCAUUAUAUUUGUUUAUUGGAAAAAUAAAUAAAUGCAUGCGUGAUCCAUGAGAUUAAUAUAUAUUGAAACGAAGGACUUAAGGCUGAGAAAAAUCAUCAAACUUUUUUUGUACCUUAAAUUUUUUUAUUUAAUUUAAACAUAAUCAUGUUACUCUAUAGAUAAAGCAGGAUGAGAUAAAAGACUUAUUUAUAAUUAUGCAUUGAUUCAAAUCUCAGUCUAUUAAUUAAAAAGAUCUUAAAAAAAGAAUAUUAUUAUUUCAAGAAUAUAUAAUAUCUUGAUAUGAUUUCUUGAAUCGAUGUAAUUUAAAACUUGUCACUUAAAAUAAAAAAAAUCUUAUCUCUUUUUUGUUAUAUCUACUUCAAAAAAUAAAAAUAUUUCUUGCUUUGUAUAGUGAUUUUUCCUAAAUAAUCUAUUUACGUCUCAAUUCAUUAUUAUUUAUUUAUUUUGUUUUGUAAGAAUUUUUUCUAACUAUUUCUUCUUUGUUUUGUAAUAAUGUUGAUUUAUAAAAUUCAUGUACUCUAUAUAUUUUAAUUUUGUAAUAGUUUUAAUUUUGUGUUCAUAUAUUUCUUAUAACUAAAUACUAAAUUGAUAUGUUAUAUUGUUCUCAUCGGGCCGGUUCUCGGACCGGUCGCGGGCCGGGGCGGGCCGACCCGGUCCCCCUGCUACCCCUACUUAAUAUGGAUAAAGCAGGAAUUGCAAACCUAAGAAUCAGGAAAAUGCAAAAUACAAACUACGGCUACAGUGAAAUCAAUCACAAUGCACAGUGAAAGAAAGGAACAAAAUAGCAAUAGAUCAUCAAAAUCGCAAGCACUGAAAAACAUAGGAUCAAAUGCAACGGAUACAGAGCAGCACAAUAGUUAACUAGAGUAAUAAAGGAACGAUUGUGAGCAACAUUAACAAGAAAUACCUGGACUAUGCAGUGGUAUUAGCUAGGUUUCUGGCUCAAUCUGCAGGAAAGGGAAAAUCUUAGAAAUGAAGCUCAAAGAUCGAAUGUAAAGCGUGAUAACAAGAAUACAUGGUGUAAAUCAAAUCUUACAUGAGUUGUUCAUGUUGGGGUGAAGUGUAUUCAAUGGGCUAGGUUUCCAUGGCAUUCGUGAGAAUUUGGAGUGUCUCGUGUGGAAACAACCCGACCUCAGCUUGUUGCACCCAUCGACGAAUCGCUUGCACCCACCGGCAGACCCGUUUACAGCACUCACCAUUGCAGAGACGAGCUGAGUCUUGCA
rnacentral:lncRNA from 1 species